AAAUUGAAGAGUUUGAUCAUGGCUCAGAUUGAACGCUGGCGGCAGGCCUAACACAUGCAAGUCGAACGGUAACAGGAAGUAGCUUGCUGCUUCGCUGACGAGUGGCGGACGGGUGAGUAAUGUCUGGGAAACUGCCUGAUGGAGGGGGAUAACUACUGGAAACGGUGGCUAAUACCGCAUAACGUCGCAAGACCAAAGAGGGGGACCUUCGGGCCUCUUGCCAUCAGAUGUGCCCAGAUGGGAUUAGCU
rnacentral:rRNA from 1 species